rnacentral:tRNA from 1 species
AUAUAUAUAUAUAGCUUUAUAUUCAAGUAUGAUAUAAAAUUGCAAAUUUUAUGGUGUAAUAAAAUAAUACUAAGGCUU